rnacentral:rRNA from 1 species
AUGUGGAUGAAGAUGGCGACUUGCAUUCAUAAGGUGGCUUCAGAGGAGUUUGGGAUGACCAGGGAAAGUAGAAGUGAAGCUAAAGAUACCUGGUGGAACGAUGAUGCCCAGAAGGCUAUUAAGGAGAAGAAAGAUUGUUUCAGACACCUGCAUUUGGGUAGGAGUGCAGACAACAUAGAGAAGUACAAGGUGGCAAAGAAGGCCGCAAAGCGAGCUUUGAGUGAAGCAAGGGGUCGGGCGUACGAGGACCUCUACUGGCGCUUAGACACGAAGGAAGGCGGAAGGAACAUCUAUGAGAUGGCCAAGAUCCAAGCGAGGAAGACAAGAGAUGUCCGACCAAGUCAAAUGCAUCAAGGAUGA